ACAACCUUACUUGAACAGGAUCUGUUCUAUAGGCUCGUACCGCUGCAUCCUUUACCAAUAAGGAGGCAAGCACUUCAGUCUGGUUGAUGCAUUCUUAACCACUGGGCCAGAGCGUGAUUAACGGCUUGGAUGAAUCUUGAUGGGUGUUAUCCGAUGGCUGUAGAGGAUCGUUCCUGGAUUGGCUUCUGUCUCUACAGGGUGGCCUAGAGGUUGUCUGACGGACA
rfam:Triticum aestivum genome assembly, contig: Triticum_aestivum_CS42_TGACv1_scaffold_513588_6BS